GACGUAGGGCGCGAGCGUUGUCCGGAAUUAUUGGGCGUAAAGAGCUCGUAGGCGGUGUGUCGCGUCGGCCGUGAAAACCUGUGGCUUAACUAUGGGCUUGCGGUCGAUACGGGCAUCACUGGAGUUCGGCAGGGGAGACUGGAAUUCCUGGUGUAGCGGUGAAAUGCGUAGAUAUCUGGAGGAAUACUGGUGGCGAAGGCGGCAUCCUGGACCGGCAUUGACGCUGAUGAGCGAAAGCUAGGGGAGCAAACGGG
rnacentral:rRNA from 1 species